UUAACUGAAGCCAAAAAGAGGCAUAUUAUUGUUAAUAAUAUCAUUGAACUUAAUUCCAGUUAAA
rnacentral:tRNA from 1 species